CCCCUCUCAGGAUCACACCUGGAGAGUUUCCAGUACUCUACCAGUCUCGACUAUGGAAGGGAGAGUCAAGCAAAGGCAUGUUCACUCCAUUCUUAGCUUGGGCAAUGGCUAGAGAGUGGAAGGCAAUCUGCUACAAGU